rnacentral:tRNA from 13 species
GGUGACAACGUUGGGCUUCAAAACCGUAGACUUCUUGA